GGGAAUCUACCGUGCCCUGCGGAAUAGCUCCGGGAAACUGGAAUUAAUACCGCAUACGCCCUAUGGGGGAAAGAUUUAUCGGGGUAUGAUGAGCCCGCGUUGGAUUAGCUAGUUGGUGGGGUAAAGGCCUACCAAGGCGACGAUCCAUAGCUGGUCUGAGAGGAUGAUCAGCCACAUUGGGACUGAGACACGGCCCAAACUCCUACGGGAGGCAGCAGUGGGGAAUAUUGGACAAUGGGCGCAAGCCUGAUCCAGCCAUGCCGCGUGAGUGAUGAAGGCCUUAGGGUUGUAAAGCUCUUUCACCGGAGAAGAUAAUGACGGUAUCCGGAGAAGAAGCCCCGGCUAACUUCGUGCCAGCAGCCGCGGUAAUACGAAGGGGGCUAGCGUUGUUCGGAAUUACUGGGCGUAAAGCGCACGUAGGCGGAUAUUUAAGUCAGGGGUGAAAUCCCAGAGCUCAACUCUGGAACUGCCUUUGAUACUGGGUAUCUUGAGUAUGGAAGAGGUAAGUGGAAUUGCGAGU
rnacentral:rRNA from 1 species